rnacentral:rRNA from 1 species
UACCAGCACCCCGAGUGGUCGGGACGUUUUAUUGGGCCUAAAGCAUCCGUAGCCGGUUCUACAAGUCUUCCGUUAAAUCCACCUGCUUAACAGAUGGGCUGCGGAAGAUACUAUAGAGCUAGGAGGCGGGAGAGGCAAGCGGUACUCGAUGGGUAGGGGUAAAAUCCGUUGAUCCAUUGAAGACCACCAGUGGCGAAGGCGGCUUGCCAGAACGCGCUCGACGGUGACGGGAUGAAAGCUGGGGGAGCAAACCGG